CAGUAGCAAGCAGGUACUGCUGGCUUCUUCUCUGCUCCUGAAUCCUGAAACAUUGAAGGCAGUUCCUGUGUUACCAACUCUCAUGCUAUGUGGAGCUCACUGAGUUGUGUCAUUACACGAGAAUCUCAACUUUCAUUUUUUAAAAAUGCGGAGUCAACGGGGGAGUGGCAGCAGUUGACUCACCGCAGUGAAGACACCGCGGAGAAUGCAGCACUCACAGGCCUCCUGAAUUCACCCUUAAUGCUACUUCAUUGAUUGGCUAAAUGCCUACAAAGGGGGUACUCAAAUAGGAUUAUUUGCAACUGACUGCCAAGAUCGCAUGACAUAAAAAAAUCUCUUAUCUUCAAACUAGGGUUUCCAAGUUUGAUUUCAAAUCUGGAUGUGUGUCCUCACCUUGCCAAUGCCAGCUCAGUAACGUACAGGGUAUUAACUUUUCUGUUACUUUAAUAAUAAUAAUAAUAAUAAUAAUUAAUAAUAAAAGCUAGCAUGUAAAGAUGGGAAUGGUAUACUCAGAGCAAAUUACUAAGAUAAAAUUCUGUUUUCUUUCCUACACUUCUAAUUCUGUAAGUAAAUCUUUGCAUUCAUGAAUCUUGAAAUUCAUUUAAAUGUUAGUCUUUAUUUUUAUUGUUAUUCCAGAUUGCAAUUUCCUGAGUAAAGCAGCCCAAAUUCUCCAAAUGUUUAUAGUGCAUGUAAUAUUUUUAUCAGCAAUGAAGCACCAUUGUGGUAGAUAUUAAGUAUAUUCUUGCACAUUUGCGCUUUAUCAAAGUAUUACAAUGAUCAUAGUAAAAUCUGUAUAUUUCAUAAAGUUAUCUCUAAUUAUCCAGUGAGCAAUACUGGGGUAAAUAUUUAUUUGGGUGAUGGAAAUUAAAUGGGACUAGAGAAAAGUGGAAAUUUCCAGAAAAAUAAUAAACUAUCAACUCUAUAUGUCUUUUCAAGUUACAAUUGAAAAUGUCUUUUUCCUUUGACUAUAUAUGUAGUCCCUAGAACUGGUUAGAACAUGGCCAUGUAAAUCAAAUUUUGAAGAAAACCAACAAUAAACUUGUUUUAUCCCCCCAUUUUUCAAUCAGUUUUAGUUUUUCUACUGUCUAUUGUGUGAUAUAGAAUGCAUUAUAAAUCUGUUUUAUAUAAUUAUGUAAAUGUUUCUGUUCACAAAUCAUUGAUGUUAAAAGAGGGAGUAAACAUAAUUAUCCAGUCCAUCUGCAAAUAUAGGAUUGUUCCUUACAAUUAAUUGUACUGUGGCGUGGUGGGUUUUUCCUCCCAUUAUCUACUCUUUAUGUAAUUCUGUAAUAUGUUAAGUAUGUGAUUUGCUCCUAUAGAAGUCAGUAGGAUUCUGUUAUGGAAAAAAAAGAUUAUUGGUUUGAUCCAAAGCUGAUAGCCUGAUCCAAAGCCCAUUGAAGUCUCUGAAUGUACCAUGGUUUGUAUUGCGUGGUUUAAAACUAAGCUUAUUAUCUUUUAUGCCCAAAACAGUUAUUUAUAUUGAUUGUGAGAUUUAGUACAUGUAUUUAGGAGGCACAUCAUGCCUGUCUCACUCAGUGAAUUUAAUGGGAUGACUUAUCUAAGCAAGAUUUUUGCUCAAGAUGUCUGCUAUGAUGAGAAGGGGGUGAUUUUUUUUAAAGCAGUAUUUUAGAGAACUCUGUUUGAAUGAGGUAAUGGAGAAAUUUCAGUAUCAUGGGCAGGGGGACCCCAAAACCCAUCUCUUGCAGUGAAGACACCAUGCGCUUGCACUGUGUGCAAGGACUAAUUGUAAUUUUUUCCCUUUGGCAAAGGCAUAAAGUGUUUUUCAGCAGUUUGUGGUGCUCCUAAUCACAUCAUAACUGCAACUGCACACAGCAUAUUGUAAUACCACCUGCCAAAGUCUCUCAAUCAUCUUUGUGAAACAUUUUGUACCAAUUCUGUUCUUGUCCAUUUCAGCUCAGAUUUGUAACCUGUGAAAGUAGAUGGAACUUGUAAG